rnacentral:tRNA from 1 species
CCUUCGAUAGCUCAGUAGGUAGAGCGGAGGACUGUAGAUCCCUAGGUCGCUGGUUCGAAUUUGGCUCGAAGGA